rnacentral:rRNA from 1 species
AGCGGUAACAGAUCUAGCUUGCUAGAUGCUGACGAGCGGCGGACGGGUGAGUAAUGCAUAGGAAUCUGCCCGAUAGUGGGGGAUAACCUGGGGAAACCCAGGCUAAUACCGCAUACGUCCUACGGGAGAAAGGGGGCUCCGGCUCCCGCUAUGGGAUGAGCCUAUGUCGGAUUAGCUAGUUGGUGAGGUAACGGCUCACCAAGGCCACGAUCCGUAGCUGGUCUGAGAGGAUGAUCAGCCACAUCGGGACUGAGACACGGCCCGAACUCCUACGGGAGGCAGCAGUGGGGAAUAUUGGACAAUGGGGGAAACCCUGAUCCAGCCAUGCCGCGUGUGUGAAGAAGGCCCUCGGGUUGUAAAGCACUUUCAGCGAGGAAGAACGCCUAGCGGUUAAUACCCGCUAGGAAAGACAUCACUCGCAGAAGAAGCACCGGCUAACUCCGUGCCAGCAGCCGCGGUAAUACGGAGGGUGCAAGC